CCUACGGGUGGCAGCAGUGGGGAAUAUUGGACAAUGGGGGCAACCCUGAUCCAGCCAUGCCGCGUGUGUGAAGAAGGCCCUCGGGUUGUAAAGCACUUUCAGUGAGGAAGAACGCCUGGUGGUUAAUACCCAUCAGGAAAGACAUCACUCACAGAAGAAGCACCGGCUAACUCCGUGCCAGCAGCCGCGGUAAUACGGAGGGUGCGAGCGUUAAUCGGAAUUACUGGGCGUAAAGCGCGCGUAGGUGGCUUGAUAAGCCGGUUGUGAAAGCCCCGGGCUCAACCUGGGAACGGCAUCCGGAACUGUCAAGCUAGAGUGCAGGAGAGGAAGGUAGAACUCCCGGUGUAGCGGUGAAAUGCGUAGAGAUCGGGAGGAAUACCAGUGGCGAAGGCGGCCUUCUGGACUGACACUGACACUGAGGUGCGAAAGCGUGGGUAGCGAACAGGAUUAGAUACCCCUGUAGUC
rnacentral:rRNA from 1 species